CGCGUACCACCAGGCCCUCCAGACUACCGAGCCCUCUUCCUAGAGCAGUCCCUGCGGGAGUGGGGGGGUGGGGCGCUGGGGCGCCCCUUCUCCCUCCAUUACUCCCCACAGAGCCUGCCCAACGGCCACCCGGAAGUGCAAGCAUUUCGGAGGUCCAGAGCGUCGGUUUUGGGUACGCUGUUACUCUUUCAUUCACCCAACUGACAAUCCUCGGGUGCUUUGAUAGGGAGAUGAUCGAGGCGCAGCCUGUGUCCGCAUACAGGACUAUAGGACUGGGUGACAGGUGCCGUGCUUCACGGUACGGGAUGCUGUACCUCCAAGGAGCCGAAGGGAUGGCAGGAAGCGCUCCUGGAAGGGCAACAACCCUGGGCCCCGCAGUGCCCGCCACGUGGGCUCGCGAGUAUUUGGUGGAUGGGGCCUGCUGCUGGCAGAGCGUCGCGAGUAGAAGGGGGAUUCCGCGCGGAAGAAAGGCGGCCGGCCUGAAACCGUCUGCGCGUGCAGGAUCUUGAGUGCCCGGAGCUGAAGCUGGAAGGAUGGACGUGGGUGGGCCUGAAGAUUCCAAGCUUUUGAUCAUGGCUUGGUCUUUCUGUGCCAAGCCCCCUUCCUGAAGCUGCCUAGGCUCCCACCAGGAAUCACCUCAGAAUAAAAGCUGCUUCCGUGAUUCAGAAGUCCCCAAGGAUUUGGGAGAGCUCUGGGCC
ensembl:lncRNA